rnacentral:lncRNA from 1 species
GUCUGUCUGUGUCUACGGGCACCGUGGCCACACCUGCCUGCACAGCCAGGGCCAGGAGGAGGAGAUGCCAUGACCCUCAUUCUCACAAGCCUGCUCUUCUUUGGUGAGAUCUUAAGAGGGGGAGGAGAGACCCUAGUCUAGGAGAGAGACCCCAAUCCAUAGCCAUGCCUUAGUCAAUUAGGGCAUCCCAGGGGCUCAAGGAAAAGAAGAAGACCUGCUCAGGCUUCGGAGGCAAAUCUCUCACAGGGAACUCUCUUCCAGGGCUGAGCCUGGGCCCCAGGACCCGGGUGCAGGCAGAAAACCUACUCAAACCCAUCCUGUGGGCCGAGCCAGGUCCCGUGAUCACCUGGCAUAACCCCGUGACCAUCUGGUGUCAGGGCACCCUGGAGGCCCAGGGGUACCGUCUGGAUAAAGAGGGAAACUCAAUGUCGAGGCACAUAUUAAAAACACUGGAGUCUGAAAACAAGGUCAAACUCUCCAUCCCAUCCAUGAUGUGGGAACAUGCAGGGCGAUAUCACUGUUACUAUCAGAGCCCUGCAGGCUGGUCAGAGCCCAGCGACCCCCUGGAGCUGGUGGUGACAGCCUACAGCAGACCCACCCUGUCCGCACUGCCAAGCCCUGUGGUGACCUCAGGAGUGAACGUGACCCUCCGGUGUGCCUCACGGCUGGGACUGGGCAGGUUCACUCUGAUUGAGGAAGGAGACCACAGGCUCUCCUGGACCCUGAACUCACACCAACACAACCAUGGAAAGUUCCAGGCCCUGUUCCCCAUGGGCCCCCUGACCUUCAGCAACAGGGGUACAUUCAGAUGCUACGGCUAUGAAAACAACACCCCAUACGUGUGGUCGGAACCCAGUGACCCCCUGCAGCUACUGGUGUCAGGCGUGUCUAGGAAGCCCUCCCUCCUGACCCUGCAGGGCCCUGUCGUGACCCCCGGAGAGAAUCUGACCCUCCAGUGUGGCUCUGAUGUCGGCUACAUCAGAUACACUCUGUACAAGGAGGGGGCCGAUGGCCUCCCCCAGCGCCCUGGCCGGCAGCCCCAGGCUGGGCUCUCCCAGGCCAACUUCACCCUGAGCCCUGUGAGCCGCUCCUACGGGGGCCAGUACAGAUGCUACGGCGCACACAACGUCUCCUCCGAGUGGUCGGCCCCCAGUGACCCCCUGGAUAUCCUGAUCGCAGGACAGAUCUCUGACAGACCCUCCCUCUCAGUGCAGCCGGGCCCCACGGUGACCUCAGGAGAGAAGGUGACCCUGCUGUGUCAGUCAUGGGACCCGAUGUUCACUUUCCUUCUGACCAAGGAGGGGGCAGCCCAUCCCCCGUUGCGUCUGAGAUCAAUGUACGGAGCUCAUAAGUACCAGGCUGAAUUCCCCAUGAGUCCUGUGACCUCAGCCCACGCGGGGACCUACAGGUGCUACGGCUCACGCAGCUCCAACCCCUACCUGCUGUCUCACCCCAGUGAGCCCCUGGAGCUCGUGGUCUUAGGAGCAACUGAGACCCUCAAUCCAGCACAAAAGAAGUCAGAUUCCAAGACUGGCCCCACACCUCCAGGAUUACACAGUGGAGAAUCUCAUCCGCAUGGGUGUGGCUGGCUUGGUCCUGCUGUUCCUCGGGAUUCUGUUAUUUGAGGCUCAGCACAGCCAGAGAAGCCCCCCAAGGUGCAGCCAGGAGGCAAACAGCAGAAAGGACAAUGCACCCUUCAGAGUGGUGGAGCCUUGGGAACAGAUCUGAUGAUCUGAGGAGGUUCUGGAAGACUGGGGCAGCAGUUGGGGAAGUGUCUGCUGAGAAUAUCAAGGGGAAGAAGCAUGGGUCAGGUGCAGGAAGAUGUCUGGGUGUCUGUAGAAGAUGCUUCCUCCAUUAAACUGUGGUGCUUUCCUCCUCAUUGUCGACUCUCCUUGACUGCCCCUUCCUUCGUUUUUCUUCCCUAUGAUGUAAGGCUUCACCCCUAUGGUGGGUUUGGGUCCGCCCCUCUGUGACCUCAUGCUCUGCUCCACUUUCAGGAUUCUACAGAAAAUCUACCUUCUCAGCCCCCCUGAGCCUGUUGCAACUUUAGGAGAGGACUCUCCAGCGUGGCUCAUGGCUGCAACUGGACAGAUUCAUUCUGACCGAGGAAGGAGAACUCAGUCUCUCCUGCACCCUAGACUCUCAGCAACACCCUAGUGGACAGUCCCAAGCUCUGUUUCCUGUGGGCCCCAAGACCCUCAGCCACAGAUGGAUGUUCAGAUGUCAUGGCAAUAACAGGAACACCCUUCAGGUGUGGUCGGAACUCAGCGACUCCCUGAAGCUCCUGUUCUCAGGUGAGGAAGUCAGAACACCCUUCAGGUGUGGUCGGACCUCAGCAACUCCCUGAAGCUCCUGUUCUCAGGUGAGGAAGUCCCAUCUUUACCCCAAACAUUCUUUGAAGCAUCAGACAGGUUGCUGUGGAUCUUGCUCCCAGGCAAGUCCCAAGCGUGAGGGUGGAAUGAGGGGAACGAGGGCUUCUGGGGCCAGAGACACAGAGUAUAAGUGAUGGUGAGAUCUGCAGAGCCAGGAGGACAAGGGAUGUAUUUGAGGGGAGUCAGCCCCCAAAGUCCUGACUUGUCUUUCCCUCUAGGUGUGUCUAGGACUCCCUGCACGGGACCAAACAGGGGCCCCUCCUAAUCUCUGGAGAGAGUCUGACCUUCCAGUGUUGCUCUGAUGUUGGCCACCAAGGACUUUUCCUGUCUGAGGAGAGGCGACAUGACCACCCUGGCACCAUGGCUGGCAGCCCCAGGCUGGGCUCCGUCAGGCUGACGUUUCCUUGGAGUGGCUCCCAUGGGAGCCAGGACAGAUGCUGUGCUAAACGCAACGUCUUUUCUUUUCUUUUCUUGUUUUGUUUUGUUUUUGUUUUUUUGAGAUGGAGUUUCGCUCUUGUUGCCCAGGCUGGAGUGCGUGGUACGAUCUCAGCUCACUGCAACCUUCACCUCCUGGGUUCAAGUAAUUCUCCUGCCUCAGCCUCUCAAGUACCUGGGAUUACAGGCAUACACUACCAUGCCUGGCUAAAUUUUUUUUUUUUUUUUUGUAUUUUUAGUAGAGACUGGGUUUUGCCAUGUUGGCCAGCCUGGUGUUGAACUCUUGACCUCAGGUGAUCCACCCACCUCGGCCUCCCAAAGUGCUGGGAUUACAGGCGUGAGUCACCGCACCGAGCCCACAAUGUCUUUUCUGAUUGUUUGGUCCCCUGAAUCCCCUGGAUAUGCUAUUGCAGGUGAGGGGUCCAGCAGGUUCACUCAGGGACCCAGAUUCUGCACAGGGCCUGCUGGGGAUCUGCAGGCGGUGAUGACCAGCAUGAUGAGUGUAUUAGUCUGUUUUCUUGCUGCUGAUAAAGACAUCCCCAAGACUGGGUGAUUUAUAAAGAAAAAGAGGUUUAAUGGACUCACAGUUCCAUGUGGCUGGGGAGACCUCAUAAGCAUGGUGGAAGGUGAAAGGCACAUGGUGGCAGACAAGAAAGAAAUGAGAGCCAAGUGAAAGGGGUUUCCCCUUAUAAAACCAUCAGAUCUCGUGAGACUUACUACCAGGAGAACAGUAUGGGGGAAACCACCCACCGCCUCCACGAUUCAAUUAUCUCCCACCAGGUUCCUCCCACAACACGUGGGAAUUAUGGGAGCUACAAUUCAAGAUGAGAUUUGGGUGGGGACACAAUCAAACCAUGUCAAUGGAUAAGGUUCUUUAGAGAGGGAAAGAGACAGAGGGGCAAGGUGGAUGGGAGGGAGAGGAAGAGACUCAGAGGAAACAGUGAAUGACAGAGAGACUGAGGGUCCUAGAGAGAAGCCCUGGGAAGGUCUCUGCUCAGAACAAGGUGGGGGCAGCCCCUCACCCAUCCUGCCUCUCUCUAGGACAGCUGCCUGAGGGAUAUUCCCUGUUGGUGCAGCCGGGCUCCAUGGUGGCCUCAGGAAAGAACAUGGUCCUGCUACAUCAGUGACACUUUUCUUAUUUCCAAGAAGGGAGCAGCAGAUCCCUACCUUUGUGUCUAAUAUCAAAGUACCAAGCUCAGCAGUACAGGCUGAAUUCUCCAUGAAUGCUGGGAGGACCUACAGGUGCUAUGUCUUAUAGAGUACCUCCCCCUACCUGUUUUCACACCCCAGGGACCCCCAGGGUUUGUGGUCUCAGGUAAGGAGAUCCUACCCCAUGAGCACUGAGGCUGGAAUGAGACAUGUGUGAACAUAUGAGAAAAUGUGUUUAGAACUUCAUGUUCAUAACACAGCUUUGGAUCACAAGGUCAGGAGAUCGAGACCAUCCUGGCCAACAUGGUGAAACCCCAUCUCUACUAAAAUACAAAAAAUUAGCCGGGCGUGGUGGUGCACGCCUGUAGUCCCAGCUACUCGGGAGGCUGAGGCAGGGGAAUCGCUUGAACCCAGGAGGCGGAGAUUGCAGUGAGCCGAGAUCGCACCAGUGCACUCCAGCUUGGUGACAGAGUGAGACUCCAUCAAAAAAAAAAAGAAAAAAGAAAAAUUCCUAAAUUGUAUAUACUUAUUGUGUAAAGUAUGUAGUUUUGAAAUAUAUAUACUUGUCUGUUGGGCAAAUCAAUCUAAUUAACAUAUACAUUACUUUCCAUAUUUCUAAUUUUUGUGUGGUAAGAACCCUUAAAAUCUACUUUUAUAGUGAUUUUUAAGGAUAUAAUACACUGUUAUGUCUUCCGAGAUGGUGAAAAUACCAAAAUGGUGUGUAGAGAUUCAUUCUGCAUUCUUGUAUCCAAGAAAGAACAUGGGAGGUGAUAUGGUUUGGCUGUGUCCCCACCCAAAUCUCAUCUUGAAUUGUAGCUCCCAUAAUUCCCACGUGCUGUGGGAGCCGGUGGGAGAUAACUGAAUCAUGGAGGCAGUUUCUCCCAUUCUGUUCUUGUGGUCGUGAAUAAGUCUCAGAAGAGCUGAUGAUUUUAUAAGGGGUUUCCCCUUUUGCUUGGCUCUCAUUUCCUCUGUACCUGCCACCACGUGAGAUGUUGCUUUCACCUUCCACCAUGAUUGUGAGGCCUCUGCAGCCAUGUGGAACUGUGAGUCAAUUAAAUCUCUUUUUCUUAUAAAUUACCUGGUCUCGGGUAUGUCUUUAUCAGCAGCCUGAAAAUGGACUAAUACAGGAGUUGAAUAUGAAAGUGAAGGAAAUCUCAGAUACUGCUAAAAAGAAGGCAGGCAGCAGCUCAUGCAGCAAGACCUGGCAGAAAACCAUGAGUGAACUUCCAGUGCCUGAGAGGGAAGUUAUGAGACCACAUGAUACCCAUUCUCAGUGGGGAGCCAGGCAAUCCAGGCCACUGGGGAGCUCUUUGACCGACCUAAGCCCUGGAUCUGACUUAGGGAACAGCGGGAGGACUGUGAAAAGGAAGGGCCCAGGGAAGUGCUCCAUGUGUGCUCCCAGACCUGGAUGCUGAUAGAAAGAGGCCAUUCCUGAUCCUAACCCUUAGUGGGCAGUGCAAGAACUUGACAUCGGCCCGGCGCGGUGGCUCACGCCUGUAAUCCCAGCACUUUGGGAGGCCGAGGCAGGCGGAUCACGAGGUCAGGAGAUCGAGACCAUCCUGACUAACACGGUGAAACCCCGUCUCUACUAAAAAUACAAAAAAUUAGCUGGGCGUGGUGGCUCAUGCUUGUAAUCCCAGCACUUUGGGAGGCCGAGGCAGGCGGAUCACGAGGUCAGGAGUUCAAGACCAUCCUGGCUAACACGGUGAAACCCCGUCUCUACUAAAAAUACAAAAAAUUAGCCGGGCACGGUGGUGGGUGCCUGUAGUCCCAGCUACUCGGGAGGCUGAGGCAGGAGAAUGGCACGAACCUGGGAGGCGAAGCUUGCAGUGAGCUGAGAUCACGCCACUGCACUCCAGCCUGGGCGACAGAGCGAGACUCCGUCUCAAAAAAAAAAAAAAGAACUUGACAUCAAACAUGGGUGAGGGUCACUACUUCGGAGAGUCUUGGGCCAGAGAUUGACAAUCUGGGCUCAAGUAGAAGACAGGUCCCCAUGGACAGAACUGAGAGGCAAUUGUGGCAUGGGCUCCAGACACCAAGCACUGGCGUUGGACACCUCUCUUUGACAGAACCGAGGGGGAAAAGUUGUAGCCUGAGAGGCAUGGAUUUUACCCAGGAGGCAAGAUCUGUGGCCUGGGGUAGUUGAGUGGUCUGACAUCAAACCGCAUGUGAUUUGACGGUCUGAAAUUGCUUCCAGCAUUGGGCCACAGGGAGGAGCUCUGCUGGGUUGGGAGCAUUAGAUUAAAGUGAGUCCCACUGUCAUUUUCUAGGCUUGGAACCCAACGUGCCCCUCUGGGGAACUCUGCUGUAACUUUGGCAUAAUAGUCAUUGCCCUACUCAGUGCUUGAGUGUCUCUCCAGGGACCUGAGAACCACACAUGUAGCCUCUGUGGGGACGGAGCCUGUGCCUAGCAUUGGGCCUGAGUACAGGCUUGCCUGGACCAGCCACACUUACCUUCAUUUCCCUGCGUUGGAGGCAGAGUACUGAUCAAGACCACUGAGUUUUCCACAACCCAACCCAUCACUUAGGAUACCUGAAUGCUUCUGGUUAACAAAGGUCAAGCAUAAAGCCCACUGCCAGCGCUACAACUGGCUCUCACCAGCAAUUGCCACCUACUGGCCUGGAGGUCAAACCAUACAGCACAUUACAACGUCUCCUGAAACAAGUGACAGUGAUUGGGGAAGAGACAAGUUUCACACAAACUCUGCCACCACCAUUGCCCACGCCACCCCAGCUACACCUCUCCUUUGCAGAACCGCUUGAGGAAAGGCUAAACCUUUCUGCAAAGGAGAGGUGUCUAAUUCCAGUGCUCGGGGUCUGGAGCCCAUGCCACACUUGCCCCUCAGUUCUGUCUGUGGGGACCUGUCCCCUACUUGAGACCAGAUUGCCAAGGAGGAGGCCUUAAGUUAACUUGCCUGCUCUGUCACCUACCUGAGCCUGGGAAGGUUGAGGCUGCAGUGAUCCAAGAUCGUGCCACUGCACUCCACCCUGGGUGACAAAGUGAGACCCUGUCUCAAAAAACAAAAACAAAAAAACUGCUCUGACCUUUUCAAAAGUAUCAAGGUCAAGAACAAAGAUAAACAAAGGCACCACGCAGUGGAGUAAGAGCCUGUCUAUUGCCUAUUGCUCUCAAGCGCCAUCUACUGGAUUACAGCCACACUACAACACCAAAAAUCACUUUACUAAAUUCUACCGCCUGGAAAACCAAGAGCAAGAAUUCAGCAAAGACCCUGUACAGAGCCUUAGUCCCCUGAAAACUUCCAGAAAUAAAGCCAACAGACUAUACUCAAUUUAUACCCUUGCAAUGAAAGGAAUAGCAACCCUCCCAGAUGAGAAAAAAAAUCAGGGAAAUAACUCCUAUUAUCUCCAAACCAGUCCACGAGCUCCCCAGAAAUUGUUCUUAAUCAGUAUGAAUUGUCUGAAAUGACAAACGUAGAAUUUGGAAUCUGGAUGGCAAGGAAGGUCAUUCAAAUCAAGAGCAAAGUUGAAAUUCAAUCCAAGGAAGCCAAGCAAUCCAGUAAAAUGAUUAAUGACAUGAACGAUUAAAUUUUAAGAAACACCCAAACUGAACUUCUCGAGCUGAAAAAUUCAUGACACGAAUUUCAUAAUACGAUGAGAAGCAUUAACAGCAGAAUAGACCAAGCUGAGGAAAAGAAUUUCAAAGCUUGAAGACUUGUUUGAAUCAAAUCAGUCAAAUAUAAGGAAAAAAUAUUUUUAAAAGUGAACAAAAUCUCUGAGAAAUAUGAUAUUAUCUAAAGACACCAAAUGUAUGACUUGUCAGCAUUCCUGAAAGGGGAAGAGAGAAUAAGCAACUUGGAAAAUAUAUUUGAGGAUAUAGUCCAUGAAUAUUUUCCUAAACUCGCUAGAGAGUUUGACACACAAAUCCAAGAAACAUAGAGACGCCCAGCCAGAUAACGGUCUAGAUUUGAGGGUAUGGUGAAAAAGAUGCUUAGAAAAUGUCAGAAGUGAGACACAAUGGCUCAUUUGCUUGUGUCUUGCAUUCUCCACCUUGCAAUUCUGUACUGAUGGCUGUACUAUCAGCAGGAUCCACUCGUUAUUAUAUUCACUAUCAACCUUCAGCCUAAGGGUUUUGGCAGCCAUUGAUGUUUAUUGCUUGUAUACUCAACGCACAGGUUAUCCAAGCUUUGCAGGGUUAACUAUUAUUAUGCAAAAACUCUACAGCUAUUCUUAGGCAAAAACAUUACUAUAGCUAUUACUAUACUUAUUAUUAUGUAGAAACAUUCUACAGAAAAGAAUGUUUCCUGUGUAACACUUCAGAUAAACAAAAGAGAUCUUGCUUCUUGCCUUCAUUUCCACGUUUUUGAUGUGGAGAUUUUGUUCUUUUCCCAUUCCUCAUAUUUGAGGGGUUUUUUGUUUUUUAAUUUUGUUUUUAACAGUAGUAAACUGAUAGGCUUUGAACAUAUUCAUUAGUUUUAAUACACUACCUAUAUUAUUUGAUUCUAUAAAUAUUCCACAUUUUGCCAUUGGGAACUUUUCAUGAUAGACUUUAUGUUCAGGUAACAUGAAUCUGAUGGUAUGUGGUGAUGUCUUUGCUUUCUUGCAUGAUAAGAAGUUCUGACUUCAUCUCCUG